CACUAUCCUCUUGUGGGCAAACUCACGAACUUCCUGAAAAAUAUUACAAAACAGGGCCAUUUUUGUCUGUUCCAGAUAUGCGGAGCAACCAUGCUAAAUCUCUCACUCUUGACCUCAGACAUGUGGGCCGUUCUAAUCCGUAUCUUUGCUUAGCAUGAGAAGGUUGAUUGGAUGUACUUCGUUGCUUUUGCCGGCACAGCAGCUGGCCUCGUGAUAUACUCAUGCAAAUACUGUCCCUUUUACCUAUGUAAUAUGUGCUAAACCUCUGUUCUCUCUGGAUUACAAACUAAGAAGCUUGACACUUUUUAUCUGCAGCUGUGCCCCAUUUGCAUGUAUAAAUCGAAGGACCUCGCGUUUGGAUGUGGACAUCAGACUUGCGAUAUGGAACGCUGCCCUCUAUGCCGGCAGCACAUAACACAAAGAUCAGGCUCUACUGAUGCCAUGAAGCUUUUGGAAGAAACUCCUACGCAAAAUGUUCAGACCAGCUUUAAUUGUACUGAUCUUUGUCUUGUAAUUGGUGUCUUGGUCUUAAGUAGAUAGUGCUGCUGUCACUGUCCCAGUAAGGCACAACUGCAGUUUAACUAUAGAAGUUAGUGUUAAAAAAGCGCACCAAAAAAUAAUGUACAUAUUCCUCCCUUUCUUCUGUACAUCA